CUAUUUUUUUUUCUUUUAAAGGCAUAUUGAAAAAGUGAAUGGAAUGCUUAGGCGUCUGGACUCCACGAUGCAGGUCUAUGUUCUAAGCAAUGUCCAAAGGAGUCAGUGGCUCGCCUUUCCCGGACAGGAGACAGAACAGACAGAACGCGGCUGGUGUGCUGCAACUUGGAAGGAGGAAGAGCCAAUUCCUGGCCUCUGGGGGGAGCCUCAUGAAGCAACUCACCAACAGCAUCUGACUUCGCCCUCAUGCCAGCCUGGCAGAUGGGCAGAUGUGGCCCACGGUCCCAUUUGUGGGUGAUACUUUCAAACGCUUCUUGCAUGAAUUGUUUUCUUCAUCAUGUCCAGAUCAAUGGGACCAUGUUCAAGUGUCCAGGUCAGGUAGGACUCUGGGGACUUCCACACAGCCAGGUACACAGGGCAGAGGGCAGCCCCAGGAAGUCCGGGCUGGAGGCUGUUUCAGCCACUUUUCAUGCGAGGGUCACAGAGUGAGUCUAUGUUCCAUCUUGUCCUGCUGUUCUUG
rnacentral:lncRNA from 1 species